rnacentral:rRNA from 1 species
GACGAACGCUGGCGGCGUGCUUAACACAUGCAAGUCGAACGGAAAGGCCCUGCUUUUGUGGGGUGCUCGAGUGGCGAACGGGUGAGUAACACGUGAGUAACCUGCCCUUGACUUUGGGAUAACUUCAGGAAACUGGGGCUAAUACCGGAUAGGAGCUCCUGCUGCAUGGUGGGGGUUGGAAGGUUUCGGCGGUUGGGGAUGGACUCGCGGCUUAUCAGCUUGUUGGUGGGGUAGUGGCUUACCAAGGCUUUGAAGGGUAGCCGGCCUGAGAGGGUGACCGGCCACAUUGGGACUGAGAUACGGCCCAGACUCCUACGGGAGGCAGCGGUGGGGAAUAGUGCACAAUGGGCGGAAGCCUGAUGCAGCAACGCAGCGUGCGGGAUGACGGCCUUCGGGUUGUAAACCGCUUUCGCCUGUGACGAAGCGUGAGUGACGGUAAUGGGUAAAGAAGCACCGGCUAACUACGUG